CCCAAUUGAUUGAUGGUGCUUGCACCUGAUUGAUUUUGGUUGCCAACGAGUGGCGGACGGGUGAGUAACACGUAGGUAACCUGCCCAGAAGCGGGGGACAACAUUUGGAAACAGAUGCUAAUACCGCAUAACAGCGUUGUUCGCAUGAACAACGCUUAAAAGAUGGCUUCUCGCUAUCACUUCUGGAUGGACCUGCGGUGCAUUAGCUUGUUGGUGGGGUAACGGCCUACCAAGGCGAUGAUGCAUAGCCGAGUUGAGAGACUGAUCGGCCACAAUGGGACUGAGACACGGCCCAUACUCCUACGGGAGGCAGCAGUAGGGAAUCUUCCACAAUGGGCGCAAGCCUGAUGGAGCAACACCGCGUGAGUGAAGAAGGGUCUCGGCUCGUAAAGCUCUGUUGUUAAAGAAGAACACGUAUGAGAGUAACUGUUCAUACGUUGACGGUAUUUAACCAGAAAGUCACGGCUAACUACGUGCCAGCAGCCGCGGUAAUACGUAGGUGGCAAGCGUUAUCCGGAUUUAUUGGGCGUAAAGAGAGUGCAGGCGGUUUUCUAAGUCUGAUGUGAAAGCCUUCGGCUUAACCGGAGAAGUGCAUCGGAAACUGGAUAACUUGAGUGCAGAAGAGGGUAGUGGAACUCCAUGUGUAGCGGUGGAAUGCGUAGAUAUAUGGAAGAACACCAGUGGCGAAGGCGGCUACCUGGUCUGCAACUGACGCUGAGACUCGAAAGCAUGGGUAGCGAACAGGAUUAGAUACCCUGGUAGUCCAUGCCGUAAACGAUGAGUGCUAGGUGUUGGAGGGUUUCCGCCCUUCAGUGCCGGAGCUAACGCAUUAAGCACUCCGCCU
rnacentral:rRNA from 1 species